UACGGAGGGGGCUAGCGUUGUUCGGAAUUACUGGGCGUAAAGCGUACGUAGGCGGCUUUUUAAGUCGGAUGUGAAAUCCCUGAGCUUAACUUAGGAAUUGCAUUCGAUACUGGGAAGCUAGAGUAUGGGAGAGGAUGGUAGAAUUCCAGGUGUAGCGGUGAAAUGCGUAGAGAUCUGGAGGAAUACCGAUGGCGAAGGCAGCCAUCUGGCCUAAUACUGACGCUGAGGUACGAAAGCAUGGGGAGCAAACAGG
rnacentral:rRNA from 1 species